rnacentral:rRNA from 1 species
GACGAACGCUGGCGGCGUGCUUAACACAUGCAAGUCGAACGGAAAGGCCUCUUUCGGGGGGUACUCGAGUGGCGAACGGGUGAGUAACACGUGAGUAACCUGCCCUUGACUUUGGGAUAACUUCAGGAAACUGGGGCUAAUACCGGAUAGGAGCUACUGCUGCCUGGUGGGGGUUGGAAAGUUUCGGCGGUUGGGGAUGGACUCGCGGCUUAUCAGCUUGUUGGUGGGGUAGUGGCUUACCAAGGCGUUGACGGGUAGCCGGCCUGAGAGGGUGAGCGGCCACCUUGGGACUGAGAUACGGCCCAGACUCCUACGGGAGGCAGCAGUGGGGAAUAUUGCACAAGGGGUGGAAGCCUGAUGCAGCAACGCCGUGUGCGGGAUGACGGCCUUCGGGUUGUAAACCGCUUUCGCUCAUGACGAAGCUUUGUGUGACGGUAGUGGGUAAAGAAGCACCGGCUAACUACGUG